UUAUACCCUGUUGAACAAUUGUAGUUCGACAGGUACCCUAUUGAAUUGUGGUUGUUCGAUAUGUACCCCUGUCGAACUGUGGAUGUUCGACAGGGCA
rnacentral:pre_miRNA from 1 species